rnacentral:rRNA from 1 species
GCGCACGGGUGCGUAACGCGUGGGAACCUGCCUUUAGGUUCGGAAUAACAGUUAGAAAUGACUGCUAAUACCGGAUAAUGUCUUCGGACCAAAGAUUUAUCGCCUUUAGAUGGGCCCGCGUUGGAUUAGAUAGUUGGUGGGGUAAUGGCCUACCAAGUCGACGAUCCAUAGCUGGUCUGAGAGGAUGAUCAGCCACACUGGGACUGAGACACGGCCCAGACUCCUACGGGAGGCAGCAGUGGGGAAUAUUGGACAAUGGGGGAAACCCUGAUCCAGCAAUGCCGCGUGAGUGAUGAAGGCCUUAGGGUUGUAAAGCUCUUUUACCAGGGAUGAUAAUGACAGUACCUGGAGAAUAAGCUCCGGCUAACUCCGUGCCAGCAGCCGCGGUAAUACGGAGGGAGCUAGCGUUGUUCGGAAUUACUGGGCGUAAAGCGCACGUAGGCGGCUUUUCAAGUCAGGGGUGAAAUCCCGGGGCUCAACCCCGGAACUGCCCUUGAAACUGGAUGGCUAGAAUACUGGAGAGGUGAGUGGAAUUCCGAGUGUAGAGGUGAAAUUCGUAGAUAUUCGGAAGAACACCAGUGGCGAAGGCGACUCACUGG